UCUCUACUCAUUUGUCAGUUAUCUUUGUUUCUUCUAAUGCAGCAUGUAACUGAAAGGUCUGGCCUUGGGUCAAAUGUGCAGAUGAUGUAAUGAGCCAAAAGCUAGACGUUAAGUUGGUUAAUAGACGAAUCGAAGAUCUUAUACACAGGGAGUACUUAGAGAGGGAGAAAGAUAAUACUAGUGGAAUUAGAUACAUCACUUGAAUUGUUAUCCAAAAUGGGCUCCACAUAAGUGUACAUAGUGAUUUUAUCAAGUGUUUUCAUCUCAAGAUUUAGGAUUUUGUGGAGAGCUCCAGGAUUUCCAUUGUAGCAGCUGCGGUGUUUCUUAGUAAAUUAUACAAAAACUAUCUUGGUAUUAUUAGGAGUUACGGAGGGAGUCUUGGUUCUCAAUCAUCUUCCAUAAA